rnacentral:rRNA from 1 species
UACGGAGGGUGCAAGCGUUAUCCGGAUUCACUGGGUUUAAAGGGUGCGUAGGUGGGCCUGUAAGUCAGUGGUGAAAUCUCCGGGCUUAACCCGGAAACUGCCAUUGAUACUAUAGGUCUUGAAUUUUCUGGAAGUCAGCGGAAUAUGUCAUGUAGCGGUGAAAUGCUUAGAUAUGACAUAGAACACCAAUUGCGAAGGCAGCUGGCUACAGGAACACUGACACUGAGGCACGAAAGCGUGGGGAUCAAACAGG